rnacentral:misc_RNA from 1 species
GAAAUGCGAUAAGUAAUGUGAAUUGCAGAAUUCCGUGAAUCAUCGAAUCCUUGAACGCACAUUGCGCCCUCUGGUAUUCCGGGGGGCAUGCCUGUCCGAGCGUCAUUGCGAACCCCUCAAGCACGGCUUGUGUGAUGGGCCCUCCCGCGUCUUGGUCGUCAAGACGGGCCCGAAAUGCAGUGGCGGCUUCGCGGUUAUCCGAUCAGCCAGAGCGUAUGGGGACUUUCUCUCUGUCACACGCCCGCGGCGCGGACCGACGCCUGUCGACCUUUAUUCAUCUUUUUCUCGGUUGACCUCGGAUCAGGUAGGGAUACCCGCUGAACUUAAGC